CCUACGGGCUGCAGCAGUGAGGAAUAUUGGUCAAUGGACGAGAGUCUGAACCAGCCAAGUAGCGUGAAGGAUGACUGCCCUAUGGGUUGUAAACGUCUUUUAUAUGGGAAUAAAAUGUUCCACGUGUGGGAUUUUGUAUGUACCAUAUGAAUAAGGAUCGGCUAAAUCCGUGCCAGCAGCCGCGGUAAUACGGAGGAUCCGAGCGUUAUCCGGAUUUAUUGGGUUUAAAGGGAGCGUAGGUGGAUUGUUAAGUCAGUUGUGAAAGUUUGCGGCUCAACCGUAAAAUUGCAGUUGAAACUGGCAGUCUUGAGUACAGUAGAGGUGGGCGGAAUUCGUGGUGUAGUGGUGAAAUGCUUAGAUAUCACGAAGAACUCCGAUUGCGAAGGCAGUUCACUGGACUGCAACUGACACUGAGGCUCGAAAGUGUGGGUAUCAAACAGGAUUAGAUACCCCUGUAGUC
rnacentral:rRNA from 1 species